GACGAACCGAGCGAACGUUGUUCGGAAUCACUGGGCUUAAAGGGUGCGUAGGCGGGUCUUUUAAGUCAGGGGUGAAAUCCUGGAGCUCAACUCCAGAACUGCCUUUGAUACUGAGGAUCUUGAGUUCGGGAGAGGUGAGUGGAACUGCGAGUGUAGAGGUGAAAUUCGUAGAUAUUCGCAAAGAACACCAGUGGCGAAGGCGGCUCACUGGACUGGUAUUGACGCUGAGGUGCGAAAGCGUGGGGAGCAAACAGG
rnacentral:rRNA from 1 species